CCCCACCGGCGUACACUUGCCACCCCGCCCGCCGAGGUUCACUACCCUCCCCCACAAGCUGUGGUUCCCCGUGAGGCUGAUAUGAAAUAUUCAGUCAUAGGAGACACUGCAGGACUGGAAAGGCUGCAGCGUGGCACAACCUUCCCGUGGUCCCUCUCUCUGAAAUGGGUUGCAUCAUCUGAUUCUCUGAAAGAGGCCUUCACCAAGGAGGCGGCUGGCUGAGGAAGAUGCUGAGGGUGGCUGUGGCAGUGAGGAUGCGGCAGCCCCGUGGUCUCACAGCAGCUCCACGCAGACACCCUAGGAGGCACCAACCUCUCAGGUGGACUGAAGGCCAGGUGCAUCAAUAGCCACGGGCCUUAUGUAGUCUCCUUGCUCUCGCUUCCGCUCAUCUGCUCCCCAUCAGACACAUGGCCCCCUUGGUUGCCCGACAUCAGGACACAGUCCAACCUGGCUUUCCUGUGGUGACUGCCUUCUCCUCCUCAGAAUCUCAGAGACCACCUCAUCAGAGAGGCCUCUUCUGACCCUUUAUCUACAAGACUGCCUCCAGGCCUCUGACGGAAGAAUGACACAGGACUUUCUAGAGUGGUGCAAGUGUCUUCUGGUGGGGGUGUUGGUGAUACAGCUGUAUAUGCUGGCCAAAGCUCACCAAAGUGAAUGUGUUCAGUCUGUGCAGUUCAAAUCUGUACAUAGUUUGACCUGUGCCUUAUGUAAUUACACCUGAUUAAAAUGUGCAAUUGCAAAAAAAAAAAAAAAAAAAAAUUUGCAGGACCAGUCUCUAAGAAUAAAGUACUGAUAGAUGCUACAAUACAGAUGAACCAGGAAAACACUGUGCUAAGUAAAAGAAUUCAGACAUGAAAGGCCAUGGAUUGCAUGAUUCCAUUCACAUGAAAUGUUCGCAACAGGCAAAUCAGUAGAAACAGAAAGUAGAUUAGUGGUUGCCAGGGACCAAAGGCAGGAGGAAUGGGGAGUGACUGCUAAUGGACAGGAGACUUCUUUUGGGGGUUAGGAGAAUUUCUAAAAUUUGACAGUUGGUGUGUGAAUUUUAUGGUAUGUGACUUAUACCAAUAAAGCCAUUCUUGAAAAAUAA